rnacentral:rRNA from 1 species
GUGGGGAAUAUUGGGCAAUGGGGGAAACCCUGACCCAGCGACGCCGCGUGAGGGAAGAAGGCCUUAGGGUCGUAAACCUUUGUUGUGUGGGAAGAAGAGCGUGACGGUACCACACGAGGAAGUCCCGGCUAACUACGUGCCAGCAGCCGCGGUAAUACGUAGGGGACGAGCGUUGUCCGGAUUUACUGGGCGUAAAGGGCGCGUAGGCGGUCAUUUAAGUCAGCUGUGAAAUGGUUUGGCUUAACCGGAUCAUGCGGUUGAAACUGGAUGACUGGAGUGCUGGAGAGGCAAGUGGAAUUCCCAGUGUAGCGGUGAAAUGCGUAGAUAUUGGGAAGAACACCGGUGGCGAAGGCGACUUGCUGGCCAGCAACUGACGCUGAGGCGCGAAAGCCAGGGGAGCAAACGGGAUUAGAAACCCUGGUAGUCC